AGUUAAAAAUAUUCACUUAUUCCUCUUAUGAUAAAAGCUGAGAAAUAUAUUUAUCGCGUAAAUUGUAGAUACGCCCAUAUUGUUUCUGGCUACCCUGUCGGAAAAAUAUUCGGAUAUUCCUUUUAUCAUAACAGCUAAGCAAUACAUUUAUUACGAGUAUUAUUUGUAUGAAACAUUUUUCCAUUAGAUAUACUGACAUAUUGCGUUUAUCUCAUGAAGUCUACAUAAAAUCGGCAACUUUAUAAUUUCAAAAAGUUAUUUUGUUGAUCGUAAUAACCAUUUUUACUACUAUAGGAUUCAAUUUAAUAUAAUUACGCUUAACAAUGCCUCGAAAAAGGUGUAUAGGAGUGUCAGCUGAUCGCAAAAAACGUAAUUGCCUUCCAAUAAACCAAGAUAUGCAACAACGGCAGAUCUAUUUGCAAUUUAGUAGUGUUUUGGUGCCAUCAUAUUUUCAGCAAUUGAGUGAAGAUGCCAUGUUUCCCUCAACUCAUGACACUCAUAUAUCAGUCAGUUUGUAAUAUGUUUUUAUGUAUGUACCUAAUAAGUAUAAGUUCUGAUGUACUAUAAAUCUCAUUAAUGCUUUGUAAUAUAUGUAUAAUAAAAAUAAGGGGUUUAUAAGAAUAAUUAUUUCCGCGAACUAUUAAAAUAGUCUGCUUCUAUCUGUGGCUACAAAGAGGGAUGAGUUUACUGUAUAUUUCUGUCUGCGC